rnacentral:rRNA from 1 species
CGAGCGCGAAAGUGUAGCAAUACACGAGUAGAGCGGCGAAAGGGUGAGUAAUACGUUCCUACGUACCUCGAGGUCAGGGAUAGCCAGGGGAAACUCUGGGUAAUACCUGAUGUGAUCGAGAGAUCAAAGGCUUGCCGCCUUGAGAGCGGGGAACGUCCUAUCAGCUAGUUGGUGAGGUAACGGCUCACCAAGGCUUUGACGGGUAGCGGGUGUGAGAGCAUGGCCCGCCACAUCGAAACUGAGACACUGUUCGGACUCCUACGGGAGGCUGCAGUAACGAAUCUUCCGCAAUGCGCGAAAGCGUGACGGAGCAAUGCCGCGUGCAGGAUGAAGCCCCUCGGGGUGUAAACUGCUGUCAGGGAUUAGGAACACAAUGACCAGUCCCAAAGGAAGAGACGACUAACUCUGUGCCAGCAGUCGCGGUAAUACAGAGGUCUCGAGCGUUAGUCGGAAUCACUGGGCUUAAAGCGUGCGUAGGCGGAUGUGCAGGCGUCGUGUGAAAGCCCUCGGCUCAACCGGGGAAUUGCACGGCGAACCGCACGUCUCGAGACAAGUAGGGGCGGCCGGAACGAUAGGUGAAGUGGUGAAAUGCGUUGAUAUCUAUCGGAACGCCAAAGGUGAAGACAGGCCGCUGGGCUUGUUCUGACGCUGAGGCACGAAAGCGUGGGGAGCAAACGGGAUUUGAUACCCCGGUAGUCCACGCCCUAAACAAUGUGCACUAGAUCGAAGGAGGUACUGACGCCUUUUUCGGUCGAAGUAAAAACGUUGAGUGCACCGCCUGGGGAGUACGGUCGCAAGGCUAAAACUCAAAGGAAUUGACGGGGGCUCACACAAGCGGUGGAGCAUGUGGCUCA